UGAUAUGGAUGAUGAGAUUAUCAAUUUAACAGUUAUCCCUGACUGAUGAUGUUUCGGGUGCUGAUAAUUUUUAAUUUGACAUUUUC